GGUGAAGUCGUAACAAGGUAUCCCUACCGGAAGGUGGGGAUGGAUCACCUCCUUUCUAAGGAGC
rnacentral:rRNA from 2 species